rnacentral:rRNA from 1 species
CCUACGGGAGGCAGCAGUGAGGAAUAUUGGUCAAUGGGCGGAAGCCUGAACCAGCCAAGUAGCGUGCAGGAUGACGGCCCUACGGGUUGUAAACUGCUUUUAUACGGGAAUAACGCGCCUUACGUGUAGGCCUUUGCAUGUACCGGAUGAAUAAGGACCGGCUAAUUCCGUGCCAGCAGCCGCGGUAAUACGGAAGGUCCGGGCGUUAUCCGGAUUUAUUGGGUUUAAAGGGAGCGUAGGCCGCAUGUCAAGCCUGCUGUGAAAUGUCCGGGCUCAACCCGGACCUUGCAGCGCGAACUGGCGUGCUUGAGUCCGCGGAAAGCAGGCGGAAUUCGUGGUGUAGCGGUGAAAUGCGUAGAUAUGACGAAGAACCCCGAUUGCGAAGGCAGCUUGCUGCAGCGGAACUGACGCUGAUGCUCGAAAGCGCGGGUAUCGAACAGGAUUAGAUACCCUGGUAGUC